rnacentral:lncRNA from 1 species
GCUGCUGUGGUUUCACUGGGGUUGCUUUGAGUGCAAAGGGCUGCGGAAGUUCUUUACCACGAGACUGAAGUGCUGGAACAGGCUGCCCAGAGAUGCUAUGGGUGCCCCGUCCCAUGAGGUGUUCAAGGCCAGGUAGGAUGGGGCCCUGGGCAGCCUGGUCUGGUAUUAAAUGUGGAAGUCAGUGGCCCUGCAUGCGGUGGGGGGUUGGAGCUUCAUGAUCCUUGAGGUCCCUUCCAACCUGGGGCAUUCUGUGAUUCUGUGAUUGUAUGAUUCUAUGAAAUCUUACACGGUUGUGAGCCUGUUGCACUUGUCUUACUUCUUUUUGCAGUCAAGUCACAACCCCAGUCUUCAUAGUAAAGGACGAAUAAACAGCUUUAGUACUCCAUUUGCUUGCCUUUAGCCGAACUUGCAAGAGAAGAUACACACUGCAGUGACCCAGCAAGAAAAGCAGCUGGCAGCUCAGGAGACAGGCACCAAUAUGCACCUGUCAUUGACAACACGCUCAGAACAUGGCCAAUUUCAAUGUAAAGGUGCAGCUCAAUGUGGAGUCACAUAUGUUGCCUACGAUCAGCACCACUGUGUGGUAUUGCAGAGAGGUUUUAGUAAGCAUGACUUUGCUUCACUUUGGAGAAGGCCGAGUCGGAAGAGUCACCACAAACGUGCACCAAACGACAGAUCUGUAGCGAGGCUCUACAGGCCUGAAACACGGGGUGAACUGCAUCGCGGUGAAGCCCAUCAGGGUACUGUGAGCACUGAAACAGGCUGCCCGGGGCAGUGGGCACGGCCCCGAGCUGUCAGAGUUCAAAAAGCGUCUGGAGAACGCGUAGGAAGGUGCGCGCGUAACACGACGCGUGGCCGUGAGGGCCGUGAGGGCCCCGCGGGGCCUUGCCGGGGCCACCGCCGUGCAGUGCUGCCGAAGCGCCACCAGAGGGCGGCAGAGCGCGGCUCCCGCCGGUGCCUCCCGGUAUCCCCGCGCUGUGCCGGCGGCAGGGGGCACGCGGGCCGCCCUCUGCGCCUCGGAGCAAUCAGCAAGAGCCUUGACAAGUGCUGCCAUAAGGAUCUGACUAUCUGGCUUUUUUGAAUGAUUCCUGAAGGCUGCGAUUCAAUGUCUCCAUGUAAUGGAAUUGAUUUCCUUCAGUUAAGUUGGUUUCUCCCUUGGUUUUCCGUGAUGGCUUUAACCUGCAGCGCCAUGAGCAGGCAAUCUGAAGGCUGUGGUUGGUGACUCAUGCCAUUAGUUUUGCCUCUGGCAUUGCUACGGAAAAUCCAUUUCCGUCCAAACUGAAGCUGUCUGUUGAGCGUUAUGUAGUGUGCUGCCUUCGUUUUCUUUUCAAUGAAAAGCUCUUCCAUCUAGAAAUACACGUUCAGACUCUUGCAUUCCAGGUUUCCCCUGGCAAUCCUGGCAUUGGAUCUUGUGAAGGAAACACCUGGCCCUUGGACUACACAAAGUCUAACAUCAGAGGCGCCAAUCAGCACUGUGAUGUUAUGCAUUCCAAAAGCUGAAAGCGUCUGGCGAAUGAAGCAAGAAACUGCACAAAGGGAAAGUCUGGUGAUUCAGUCAGCUGCUCCAUGCCCAGAGAAGUGGCCUACGGCCCUGCCCUUCCCACAGCACUCUCCAUUCCUCAUGCUGGUGGCCAGCCAUCUACUACAGACAUUACUGAAGAGCAGUACUUGCAUCGUCGCCUUUAGGCAACUGAAAAGUAUGACUGACAUAAAAAUCCAGAGCUUUCAAAUCCAGAGGCCCUCAUUGCUGGUAGAAACAAGAGAGGGAAAUAUAUUCAUAUUCUAGACAGGCACUAGAGAGAGGUUCUCUGCUUGAAACUGGACUAAAUCUACAGCUUCAUACAUCGACAUGAAGGGAGGAGUAACUCAGCACUUCUCUCUCCAGCAUCACAAGGCUCUGAAGGUACUGCCUUUGACAGACUUUUUUUCUCUGAGUGGAUGAGUUAUUGAUCAAGUAAGAGAUAAAAAAAAUAGGCACUUACUUUGUGCCACAUUGCUCUGAUCAGUGAUAGAAGCUCACUGCUGGAUACCGAUCUUAAUACAAUCUCAUGAACUCAGCAGAUCCUUUUCCUUAGUCUGCACUAAUGUCAUAUUAAGUGUCUUUGUGUUUUUUACCAUAUUAAGCAUUUCUGAAACUUGAAGAUUGAUUUUGGUUUGAUUUUAAAGGGCUGAGAGAUUUUAGAAUUAGAUUUUAAUAGCCAAUUAUAGAUUAUUAAACAGUGGAAAAAAUUUAAAGCCAUUAAAAUAAUCUUUUAAACCUUCCUUAAAAUUACAUGCGAUCCACUGAGAAUAUUCGUCCAGCUGUAUUUGAAAAAUAUUAAUUGGAAGUCAGUGCAAAUAUAAAUGCUAAUGUGAACUUAACCAGAACGUGAGGGUUUCUGAACUGGAAAAGCUCUCAGAGCACACAGAAGUCACCUGUCAAGGUGGUUUUGGGACAACCAUAUGUACUAUGGGAUGACGGAGGGCAAAAAUUACGGAGGGCCACUAUGUGACUAAUUCUGCUUACUUCUAUUUUGUUUGUUUGAACAUCAGAAAUUCCUCACACGUAUCCUGUGUCUUCCAGUGAUUUGUUACACCUCUGUAAAAUACUGAUUUCAUUCCUAAGGGUGUUUCUGCCUUUAAAGAGCAGUAUCUGUCUGGCUCAGUUGGCAGUGCUGACCGGAAUAAAAACAAACAAACAACAAAAAACAAAAAUAAAUGAACAAAUAAAUGAAAAACAUCCCUGAUCAAAUAUCAGUAACUGUUACAGAACAGGAACUAAAAGAGGGGCGAUUUAGGUUAGAUGUUAGGAGGAAAUGCUUUCCCCAGAGGGCAGUGAGGUGCUGACACAGCUGCCCAGAGAAGCUGUGGUGCCCCAUCCCUGGAGGCGCUCAAGGCCAGGUUGGAUGGGGCCCUGGGCAGCCUGAGCUGGUGGGGGGCAGCCCUGCCCACGAUAGGGUUUGGAGUAGGGUGGGCUGUGAGGUUCCUUCCAACCCAAAUCAUUCUGUAAUUCUAUGAUUAUGAAUGUUACAUUUCAAUUAAUGUUAUCAUAACAAUGCUAUGGAUAUGAUUUUUCUUAUCUCAGCUUGCUGGGGAAUAGUGUAAAGAAUUUUCUGAAUGGGUAUAGCCUUUGGGGUGCCUGAGAUAAAGUAUUUUCACACACAUCCACCCCAUGUGAAACGUGCAGAAAGCCAAAAUAAACCACUGAAUUGGAUUUUGCCUUCGCUUCAGGAAGGACAGAAUAGUAGGGACUAUUUCUCAUACUUGAUCGCUAAUUUGUUGGCCAGUCAUCGUGGCAAUUAAGGAAAAAUGAUCACCUCAGUCCAAGCUGAGUGAAAUAAAGGGGAGAUUUCUUGUUAUGGCUGGGAAAAUCACAGAAAGCGUCACAGAAAUACGGAAGGAGCUAUGAUGGAUAUGCAUGGAGAAGACAGAGAACAAAUGCAGCAAAUAGGAAGCAUCAACUACUGAUAUGACAGAGAUUCAGAAUCACAGAAUGUCUUAGGUUGGGAGGGACAUCAAAGCCUACCCAGUCCCAACCCCUGCUGUGAACAGGGCUGCC